UUAUUCUUUGUGUUGUUUUCCGCCAUGUUCCAAGACCUCAAGGACAAACUAAAUGUAUAAAUAUUAACGAAAUAAAAAAAACUGUAUCAGUGCGAUUGCUCAAUCUAAGGGAGGUAGAAGUAUCUUCACCUUCAAUACUAUUCAACAUUACUACAACUGUUAUUAACCUAAAAUGUUUGCUAAGUUGAUUAUCCUCUUCGCUAUUGUUGCCCUAGCUAUGGCUCGGCCGCAGCUAUACUCCGGGUACGGCUAUAAUAAUUACCCGGCUAGCUAUCCAGGAUAUGCUGGCUAUUCCGGCUAUUCCAAUCCGGUAGCUUACUCUGGAGGAUAUGGAGGAUAUUCGGGCUACCCUUACAAUUACGGCUAUGGGUAUUACUGAUUGAAAACAUAAAAUUACUUUUUUGUAAUUCUAAUUCCAAUGUUACCUUUAUGUUAAAUACUGAUAUUACCUUUUUGAUUUCAUUUAUUUUCAUUUUAAGAAUAAAAUAAAUAUGUAUUUAAUGAU